rnacentral:rRNA from 1 species
CAGCCGUAAACAAUGUGCGUUAGGUGUGUCGGUAACCACGCGUUACUGAUGCGCCGAAGAGAAAUCGUGAAACGCACCACCUGGGAAGUACGGUCGCAAGGCUGAAACUUAAAGGAAUUGGCGGGGGAGCACCGCAACGGGAGGAGCGUGCGGUUUAAUUGGAUUCAACACCGUAAAACUCACCAGGGAAGACUGUUACAUGAAGGCCGAGAUGAAGACUCUGCUAGAUUUUCAGAGAGGUGGUGCAUGG